UACGUAAGGUGCAAGCGUUGUCCGGAAUUAUUGGGCGUAAAGAGCUCGUAGGCGGUCUGUCGCGUCUGCUGUGAAAACUCAGGGCUUAACCCUGAGCUUGCAGUGGGUACGGGCAGACUAGAGUGCGGUAGGGAGACUGGAAUUCCUGGUGUAGCGGUGAAAUGCGCAGAUAUCAGGAGGAAUACCGGUGGCGAAGGCGGCAUCCUGGACCGACAUUGACG
rnacentral:rRNA from 1 species